GCCCUUUUUGUGUUGUACUACU
rnacentral:miRNA from 1 species